rnacentral:rRNA from 1 species
UGUGAAAAUCAAUUUAAUUUUUAGUUGUUUAUGAGUAUCGGUAAGAAAUUAAAUAUUAAGAAAAAAUUAUUUUUAAUUAUAGUUUGAGGGGGUUUAAAUAUAAUGAUGUUAGAAUUUGUAAGAAGAAAAGUUUAGUAUUUGUACCUUGGGUAUCAGGGUUUAUUAAAAUUUAAUAAUCUCGAAUUAUAAAGAGCUAAUAUUAUAUAAAUUUAAUUGUGGAAUAAAUUUUUGUAAUAUUUUAUUAGAAAUGAGAUGUUAGUCGUUUUUUAGGAUAUCUAGUGAUAGUACUAAAGCAAUUACUCCGCCUAUAAAAUUUAAUUUAAUUAAUUAUUUAAUUUUUUGGUUUAGGUUAGUAAUAUUCUAGGGGUGCUGGAUGUGAACGGGCGUUACUAAGGGAUUCGCAGGAAUUAUGUUUAUUUAGUAUGAAUAAUUGUAGGAUUGGUUUAAUUUGUUAUAAUUAAUUUUUUGUUAAAUAAUAUUUAUAUUAAUAUUUUAAGUGUUUUAUUAAGUUAAUUGGUUUAAUAAGGGAAUAUACGUAACAAUGAUAAAAUUAAAUUAGUAUAAAUGUAGUUUUGUUGAUUUUGUGUUGGAAAGGUUAUGUUAAGGAAUUCGGCAAAAGUAUUUUUCACCUGUUUAUUAAAAACAUGGCCUUUACGAUGAUAAUUAUAAGUCUAACCUGCCCAAUGAGGAGUUGAAUGGCCGCGGUAUUUUGACCGUGCAAAGGUAGCAUAAUCAUUAGUUUUUUAAUUGAAAGCUGGAAUGAAUGGCUGGACGGAAUAUUUUAAGUAAAAAAGCUUAAAUGAUUUUAAAAGACGAGAAGACCCUAUAGAGUUUUAUAUAAAAUAUAAAUUAUUUAAUUUAGUAUAAUUUGGUCUAUUAUAAUAAGUAUUUUGUUGGGGUGACAGAAAAAUUAAAUGAACUUUUUAGAAGAAUGAGGCGCCAUUAGCGUGGAGGGUUUAUAUUUUUAUCAUUAAUUAAUGUAUGAAUGAUCCGUAUAUGUUGAUUAUAAGAUUAAAUUACCUUAGGGAUAACAGCGUAAUUUUUUUUGAGAGUUCUUAUCGAAAAAAAAGUUUGCGACCUCGAUGUUGGAUUAAUAAUAAACUUUUGGUGCAGAAGCUAGAAAUUUUAGGUCUGUUCGACCUUUAAAAUUUUACGAUCUGAGUUUAAACCGGUGUGAGCCAGGUUGGUUUCUAUCUUUAAUUAAAAAUAAUUAUUUUAGUACGAAAGGACCAAAUAUUAAUAAAAUUUAUUUUAAUUUUGAAUAUUAU